rnacentral:lncRNA from 1 species
GCUGAGGAUCGAACCACCCAGGGCCUCAUACGUGCCAGGCGAGCGCUCUAUCAUGAGCUACAGCCCAGCCCCCACUUUACAUAUUCUGUGCUUCUGAGCAGCAUGUUGGGAAGGCCAGAAGGCCGAUCUCUAACCAGGUUCGAUUUCAGGUAUAAUGACAUAUGUGCUAUCAUCUAUUCUCCUUCUUACACAUUAAUUAGUCAAACGGUGCCUUGAAAUGGCAUCUACUGCGGCAUCUCUUUGGGUGAAGAAGGAGGUGAACCAAGGUGGAUCUUUCUGGAAGACUCAGGAUGAUGGUGUCCCCACCGACUAAGGGGCGGGCACAUUAGAGGUGGCCUCUCUGUGGGUCGGGGUUCUUGCUGGGACAGGCCCUGUGACUGCCGUAUGUAUACACCCAGGAGAUAGGUGUUGACAGUCGGCUGUGCUGGGUGCUGCGGAUGAGUAAGACCAGCCAGGACCAGGAAACUUAUAAUCUAACAAGGAAAUAGCUAUAAAAUCAGGUAGUUUGUGACCUGUUUUAGGAGCAGUGACGAAGGCACUGGGAAGGUCAAGGGGCAGGGGUCCCUCCUGGCUGGGAGGACGGGGGUGCUUUGUGGACGAGCUGGCGUCGGAGCAGGGGCAGCAGGGCACUAAGCCUGAGGGACCCACAAAGCCAGGUGGUGGUUGGUGGGGUCAGAGAGGCCUCAGGCCAGGCAGGAGUUCAUUAGGUGCAGAGGGGACACUGGAGGACAUUACAGGUCAAGAGCCAGCCCCAAAGUCAGCACAGAGGUGUCACAGCGGACCCCUGGGUAGACCUGGCAAGGCGGCUUCAGGAGAGAACCGGGGCAGGUUUUAGACUUGAACCUCAGACGUGGGUUUGCAGGCAGUGACAGGUCGUAAAGACUGCUGAGCAGAGCGGUGACAUCUGCAAAAGGGCCCCCAACCUGGUGGUGAUGGA